UACGUAGGGACCGAGCGUUGUCCGGAAUCAUUGGGCGUAAAGAGCGUGUAGGCGGCUAUUUAAGUCCUGCGUGAAAUCCUGCGGCUCAACCGGCAGACGGUCGUGGGAAACUGGAUGGCUAGAGUGCGGGAGAGGAGAGUGGAAUUCCCGGUGUAGCGGUGAAAUGCGCAGAUAUCGGGAGGAACACCAAUGGCGAAGGCAGCUCGCUGGGACGU
rnacentral:rRNA from 1 species